rnacentral:rRNA from 1 species
UACGUAGGCAGCAAGCGUUGUUCGGAGUUACUGGGCGUAAAGAGUGCGUAGGCGGUUUCGUAAGUUUGGUGUGAAAUCUCCCGGCUUAACUGGGAGGGUGCGCCGAAAACUGCGGGGCUGGAGUAUGGGAGAGGUAAGCGGAAUUCCUGGUGUAGCGGUGAAAUGCGCAGAUAUCAGGAGGAACACCGGUGGCGAAGGCGGGUCUCUGGGCCGUAACUGACGCUGAGGAGCGAAAGCGUGGGGAGCGAACAGG